CAAUAGCGUAUAUUUAAGUUGCUGCAGUUAAAAAGCUCGUAGUUGGAUUUCGGGUGGGAAUGGCCGGUCCGCCGUUUCGGUGUGCACUUGCUACGCCCACCUUGCUGCCGGGGACGUGCUCUUGAGUUCACGCUCGGGACACGGAGUCGGCGAGGGUACUUUGAGUAAAUUAGAGUGUUCAAAGCAGGCCUACGCUCUGAAUCCAUUAGCAUGGAAUAACACGAUAGGACUCUGGCCUAUCUUGUUGGUCUGUAGGACCGGAGUAAUGAUUAAGAGGGACAGUCGGGGGCAUUCGUAUUUCAUUGUCAGAGGUGAAAUUCUUGGAUUUAUGAAAGACGAACUACUGCGAAAGCAUUUGCCAAGGAUGUUUUCAUUAA
rnacentral:rRNA from 1 species